UACAGGGGGUGCAAACGUUGCUCGGAAUCAUUGGGCGUAAAGCGCACGUAGGCGGUUCGUUAUGUCGGAUGUGAAAGCCCUUGGCUUAACCGAGGAAGUGCAUCCGAAACUGGCGAGCUAGAGUACGAAAAGAGGAUCGCGGAAUUCCCGGUGUAGAGGUGAAAUUCGUAGAUAUCGGGAGGAACACCGGUGGCGAAGGCGGCGAUCUGGGUCGAUACUGACGCUGAGGUGCGAAAGCGUGGGGAGCAAACAG
rnacentral:rRNA from 1 species